UGUCCUGCUCUCAACAUGCUGUUUCAUCUGGGCUUUAACUGGCUGGUAAAAGUCAUUUUGAGCAGACUGUGCUGCAUGUGUUUGGAGUGCAGACUUUUGUGCUAUGCCACUGGCACUGUUAUGAGCCGCCUGUUGCCUUCUAUGAUCCUUUUUCAGGUAAGGACCUUUAAAUCAUGAACAGACUAAGAUGGGCACCCCCAUUUUACAGAGGAGCCUUCCAGACGUCAGUAUUUGUCACCUCUCGGAUGAAGAUCCAAAUAGGGCAUUGGGAUGGUGAGCCCGCGUGCUUUACUAUUCUUAGUCAAAGAAACCUUCCCCUGGUCCAAAGUCCAGCCCCGCCCUGCCCUCUGCUGCGUUACAGAUUUAUAAGAGCCCCAGAUCCUCGGCACUGGUUUGGCACAAGACUUCCCGAGCAGGACAUGUAACCCACAAAAUUUAGCCAGUAUCCAGGGCAGCUCACAGCUUUGCUUCUUGUGAGAUUUAACGAAGAUGAUGGUCUUAAAAUGGUUUUACCACAAGAAAACUUCCCCCACAAGGAAUAUACCUGUUGUCUUCCCCCUGAGGCCUCACACUGCCUGUCUGAGGAGUUUACAACUAAAUGAUAGAUCCAGAGGGUUUACCACAGAUCAUGGGGAGACAAAACAGAUGUGUUGGGAGAAGGGAUUCUCAGCAAAUAGAUAACUCAAAGGAGGGACAGAUGAACUAUGAAUCAAACUGAAUGCAACCUCACCUGAUGAAAGGUCUUGAGAUGGCCAGGACGGUCCGGAUGAACCAUGUUGGCACUGACAACAACACCAGUUAAAUAUUCUCGUUUCUUCUCAUUUCCAUCAUUUUGUCAAUCUUACUUCCUGUCAAUCAUCUGGUAGCAUCUCUUCAGCCAGCUGAUGCCGGGCAUCUUCCUGCGAGGAGUUGCUCCGUUCAUGUACACAAUCAUGUAAUCUUCUGCCACCAGCAGCUCCAGGCUGCUCACAACAUAACUGAGGACAGGACAAACAAGCCCAGAUCAGACUGUGCAGCAACACAUGCAAUGACAGCACUUUACUUGACAGAAUUCCUAUGUUUACAAGUGGAUUCGAUCCAGAUUCGUGUGUCACAAAAUAUUUUAAACAUGAACGUGGAUUAAUUUUCUCAUCUUGCAUUUCUAGCAUUUAAUGAUAAUAAUAAUUUCAAACAUAAUUUGACAUGCAUAUCACAUACAAAGAUAUUCUCCCAUCAUAUCCUUUGAUCAGAUAAAGUAAAAGAAUACUGUUAAGAGAAGGCUUAAAAGAGCAGACUGGAUCUUACAGGAAGAGAUUCUCCAUGAUGUAUGUGUAGUCCUCACAGCUGCUGUCAGGGAGGUAACAGGCUGCAAACACGAUGAUGGCAUUCAGACCCUCACCGUAAUAACCUGAAAGAAGAAACAGAUGCUGCAGCUGCACUGGCAGAGCUACGACACUAGCAGUUUGUUUCUUUGUUAUCAUGGACACUGUGUGUGCAUCAGUCGCUCACAUAUGUUUUAUCGGUUUCAGAAGAGACUGAGAAAGGAUCAGACUGUAUAAUAAAGACAUAUGUCAGUAUAGGUAUUUAAUGAAGUCCACGCAGACACUCUUCACACCUCCGUGUGUGACCACCCUCAGGUAGGGUCUGAUGACCUGCAUGUCAAUCCGCUGCUCCUGGUCACCGAUGAUCACUGUUCGCCACAGACGACCAGAUGAGUCUCUCUCCUCUUCGCUCUCACCUGGCAGACGCUUGGCGGUGGCCACAGGAGUGUCAUCUAGACACAAGCUGGAAGGAACUUGUGACUGGAAAGCCAGAAGCAGAUAAGACAUGAUGUCUGAGGCAGGACUCAAACCAAAGACACUGUGGAUCGUUGCCACUGUUGAUAAACUCCAGCGAGUCUGUCUCAUCGGGAGUCUCAAUGUCAUCUACGUUGAUGUCCAGGUCGUCUGGCGUUUCCAGGAAGUCAUCAGAGAGCACUGAGCCCUCGCUCUGAUCCAGGGAGAGGU